GUGAAAACCUGAAAGGGCGCUUCUAGUAGAAGACGAUGAAGAAACAAGGAGGAUUCCAAGAUCAAAGGACAGUAAAAUACACAGCACGCUUUUUAGAAGGUCACUUGAAACGAUGGCAAUUGAGAGACUUCAAAAUUAACUGAGGAAAUUUGUGAGAUUUUAUUUCUGUACUCUUAGCCACAAAAUUGUACCUUUGCUCUUUUGAUAAUUAUCUUCUUACACCAUGAAUAAAUUUGUGCAUAUCUCGUCUACUUUGGUUUAUGCGCUAUUAAUUUGUUGAAAGCUUUCUUAUAAGAUGAGAAUCUAAACACAG
rnacentral:misc_RNA from 1 species